GGACGGGUGAGUAACGCGUAGGAAUCUACCCAGUAGAGGGGGAUAGCCCGGGGAAACUCGGAUUAAUACCGCAUACGCCCUAAGGGGGAAAGCGGGGGAUCUUCGGACCUCGUGCUAUUGGAUGAGCCUGCGUAAGAUUAGCUAGUUGGUGGGGUAAAGGCCUACCAAGGCGACGAUCUUUAGCUGGUCUGAGAGGAUGAUCAGCCACACUGGGACUGAGACACGGCCCAGACUCC
rnacentral:rRNA from 1 species